GAUGAACGCUGGCGGCGUGCCUAAUACAUGCAAGUCGAGCGAACAGACGAGGAGCUUGCUCCUCUGACGUUAGCGGCGGACGGGUGAGUAACACGUGGAUAACCUACCUAUAAGACUGGGAUAACUUCGGGAAACCGGAGCUAAUACCGGAUAAUAUAUUGAACCGCAUGGUUCAAUAGUGAAAGACGGUUUUGCUGUCACUUAUAGAUGGAUCCGCGCCGCAUUAGCUAGUUGGUAAGGUAACGGCUUACCAAGGCAACGAUGCGUAGCCGACCUGAGAGGGUGAGCGGCAACAGUGGGAGUAAGACAGGGGGGGGAGUCAGAGGGGAGGAGGAAGAAGGGAGUUUACAGAAAUGGGAGAAAUUAGUAAGGAGUAAAUACGGGUGAAUAAUAAAUGUCUAAGAAUAGUAGAAAUCUGGGAUGAUCGAAGAACAAAUGGGUAAGGAACCAUGCAAGCCAGGAGGGUAAGUAAUCAGAAAACCAACGCAAGUGACGAG
rnacentral:rRNA from 1 species